GCAAGUCGAGCGGAAACGAGAAGUAGCUUGCUACUUCGGCGUCGAGCGGCGGACGGGUGAGUAAUGCUUAGGAAAUUGCCCUGGUGUGGGGGAUAACCAUUGGAAACGAUGGCUAAUACCGCAUAAUGCCUUCGGGCCAAAGAGGGGGACCUUCGGGCCUCUCGCGUCAGGAUAUGCCUAGGUGGGAUUAGCUAGUUGGUGAGGUAAUGGCUCACCAAGGCGACGAUCUCUAGCUGGUCUGAGAGGAUGAUC
rnacentral:rRNA from 1 species